rnacentral:rRNA from 1 species
AUUGAACGCUGGCGGCAUGCUUUACACAUGCCAGUCGAACGGCAGCGCGGGCUUCGGCCUGGCGGCGAGUGGCGAACGGGUGAGUAAUACAUCGGAACGUGCCCAGUAGUGGGGGAUAGCUCGGCGAAAGCCGGAUUAAUACCGCAUACGACCUGAGGGUGAAGGCGGGGGAUCUUCGGACCUCGCGCUAUUGGAGCGGCCGAUGGCAGAUUAGCUAGUUGGUGGGGUAAAGGCCUACCAAGGCGACGAUCUGUAGCUGGUCUGAGAGGACGACCAGCCACACUGGGACUGAGACACGGCCCAGACUCCUACGGGAGGCAGCAGUGGGGAAUUUUGGACAAUGGGCGAAAGCCUGAUCCAGCAAUGCCGCGUGUGUGAUGAAGGCCUUCGGGUUGUAAAGCACUUUUGGCGGGAACGAAAAGGACUGUGCCAAUACCACGGUUCGAUGACGGUACCCGCAGAAUAAGCACCGGCUAACUACGUG